UACGGAGGGUGCAAGCGUUAUCCGGAUUUACUGGGUUUAAAGGGUGCGUAGGUGGGUUGGGAAGUCAGUGGUGAAAUACUUUCGCUUAACGAAGGAACUGCCAUUGAUACUAUCAAUCUUGAAUGUAGUGGAGGUAGGCGGAAUGCGUCAUGUAGCGGUGAAAUGCAUUGAGAUCGGAAAGAACACCAACGGCGAAAGCACUCUGCUGGGCCGACACUGACACUGAGAGACGAAAGCUAGGGGAGCAAAUGGG
rnacentral:rRNA from 1 species